rnacentral:rRNA from 1 species
AAGCGGUGGAUGAUGUGGUUUAAUUCGAUGCAACGCGAAAACCUUACCACCUUGACAUGUACGGAAUCCUUUAGAGAUAGAGGAGUGCUCGAAAGAGAACCGGAACACAGGUGCUGCAUGGCUGUCGUCAGCUCGUGUCGUGAGAUGUUGGGUUAAGUCCCGCAACGAGCGCAACCCUUGUCAUUAGUUGCCAUCAUUUGGUUGGGCACUCUAAUGAGACUGCCGGUGACAAACCGGAGGAAGGUGGGGAUGACGUCAAGUCCUCAUGGCCCUUAUGGGUAGGGCUUCACACGUCAUACAAUGGUCGGUACAGAGGGUUGCCAACCCGCGAGGGGGGAGCUAAUCCCACAAAGCCGAUCGUAGUCCGGAUCGCAGUCUGCAACUCGACUGCGUGAGGUCGGAAUCGCUAGUAAUCGUGGAUCAGAAUGUCACGGUGAAUACGUUCCCGGGUCUU